ACCUGAUACCACUCUGAAUGCAUCAGUAACAGCCAGAAUAUAGCGAAAGUGAAUGUCAUGUUCACAGCUCCCUUCCAUCAAGCACCAGCCACACAUAACAAGCCAUGUUGAGCCAUCUAAGGGAGGAGCUGGCUGCGAUGUGAACAUCUCAUGCUGUUUGUUCAGGUGCUGGCCACAUGGGGAAAGCUGCCAUCUGAAGUACCCUCAAGACGUGGUCUCUCCUUCAGUACACCAAGAGUUUUAAAUGUUAUCCAAGAGACAUCACUGACUUGGAACGAGAAGAAAUGAACAAUUAUUGUGCGUAUCAACCCAUAUUAUUUUACUUAAUCCCCAAAGCACCACUAGAAGAUGGAUAU